GAUGAAGAACGUAGUGAAAUGCGAUAAGUAGUGUGAAUUGCAGAAUUCAGUGAAUCAUCGAAUCUUUGAACGCAUAUUGCGCUCUUUGGUACUCCAAAGAGCAUAUCUGUUCGAGCGUCGGUUAUAAAAUGGAAAGUAAUUGUAAAUAGAUGAGUAUUGUCUAAAGUUAGACCUGCUUUAAAAUAAUCAGCAUAGUUAUAUUAGCUUUAGAACAUAGUAAAUCGUCGUUACUGAAGCGUAUAUAAUUGCUGUUAUUUAUUUAUUAUAAAACAUGACCUCGGAUCAGAUAGGGAUACCCGCUGAACUUAAGCAUAUCAAUAAGCGGAGGA
rnacentral:misc_RNA from 1 species